GGUGUCACAGUGUUGUGCAAGGGUUAUUAAUUAGUUUAAUAGAUGUUAUCAAAGCUCACCGAUAGACUUGACAGAGACCAGACAAAGGUUAGGACAAUGUCAGUUAGGUGUUUGUCUUGUAGAGAGACUGAUAUGUGGGUCGGGACAGACAUUAGCAAUGUUAGUUUAGGCGUAGGCUAGAUACUCAGCCUAUAUAGAGUAGAGUUUGGGGCAAUCGGGACACAACGCCAUGUAGUUUUAGCAGGGGCGUGUGUCGUAUGCUAGGCGUUUUCUGGUGAACGACACAUACAGACAUUGGGAGCAAGUCGCCGAGGUUGGCUCGCGAUCUUGGCUCCAAGAUGUGUGAGUUGUUUGCCAGAGACAACAUGUAGGAACUUUAAUUCUUAAGGACCAGGGUAAGAAGAAAUGUUUUUAUUAGUUAUAUAUCUAGUAUUAGAUGUUAAUUGAUUAUGAAUAAAUAGAAUGGCGCUUUAGCUAGUUGUUAGCGAUAUUUUUGAUUAUUUGUCUAUUUAGAGUGACAGUCUUGGCGACUGUCUGAGUCUUAGUGACAUUCUGACGGUCAGAGACGGUAGAUCUAUAUAUGGUGUAUCUUUGCCUGCUACUCAAGGGGAUAUCACUCUAGUAUUGAGCGGACUGUGACGUUGGGUUCCAGGAUCCGUGCAGAGACUAGAGAGAGAGAGAGAGAGAGAGACAAGAGAAAUGGAAAGUUCAUCGUGACCUACAGCCAAGCAUCAAUGUCUAUGUGAUUAUUAAAUUUUAAUUCUAGAAUCACAUGUUAUAUGUAACUAUAGUUGUUAAUUAAAUAUUUAUUUUUCAUAUGCAAAUUUGUGUCCAGAGAUCAUGAUUUAUAUCAUUAUUGAAUAUUGUGGUCUUUAAUCCAUAGUCAUCUGUGAUGUGUGUGUUUUAUCAGCUAAAUUACAUCAGUAAGAAUCACCCUAGACGUAUAGCCAUCAAGAGCUGAUAUCAAGAUCUUGACAAUUGGGGCCUCGUCUAAAGUUUUAUUUUAAUUUUCUACGACACUUUAAUGAUGUCUGGGGGCUAAUGAAUAACUGGGACCUGUUAUUUUUCUUUAAGUGAAAAUACUUUAGUUAUACUUGAUAUAGUAUUGACAUUUAUUUUUUUAUCCAUCAUAGUAUUGAGAAAAUUGUAUUUUGCUUGUAAAGGUUUGGACGAAUAUUCACUACUUAGAAUUAGCAUUAAGUAGAGUUUCUGUUUACACUUGUAAUACCAUGAUUGUAUUUUUCAAGAUUUUUUUUUUUCUACAUUUUGUUUUCUGCCUAGCAUUUGUUGUGGUACAGGUGAAUUGGCUGUUUGGCAGUGGACGUCACACAUGAUCUAUUUUUAGACUGUCACUCCUGAUUCCUGCGCCCAUUGUCCUGGGGCCUUCGUGUAUCCACGGUUUGAGGGUAACGUAGUUAUCUUCAGCGCGUGUUUUUUCAAUGUUUAGGUAAGCUGUAUGAUGUAGUGAGAUAGGUGUAAGUUUUCUUGUUUUUAUUUUUGAUAGGGAGCUUAGGGAUUUCAUAGAGGUGGGAUAGAAAGAGGUGGACAUUAUUUUUAAAGCAUAAUUACUGCACUGGGCAGUGUUACAUUUAUACUGUGCUUAUACUGUGUUUUUUGCAGGCAGACAGGGGCGAGUUAUUGUUUGGAGAAGGUAGAAGGGGGUUGGACCUGUAUGUUCGCGUUGGGCAAACGUAUAGUGUCGUUGUCCUCAGUUAUUUUUUUUUCUUGCUUUUUAGCUUGUUAAGUUUUGUAGAUGGUUAGCCAGGUGAGCAGUACUGUUGGCCAGUUGUUUUUUUUGUUGCCAUUUUGGUGUUUUGAUAGGCGGGAUAGGGGGUUUGAGAGACAGACAAUGGCGUUGGGUCAUGUAGUGUCCACCCCACCCAUGUAUUUUAGUAAUGCCUAUCAAACCUUGUAGUUGUUAAUGGAAGUUUUGGAAUUUCGUUUCCAGUGCCAUGCCAGAGGGCAGGGACAUUUGUUUUUCUUCUCCCUCUUAGUUGAGGUCGAGCGUUGAUUUUUUUUACCUGGUGUGUCCUUGUUGUACGGAUUCAUGGUAGUUAAGUCACAGGGUGACGUAAUGAUUUUUUGUUGUUGCGGCAAGAGUUGUUUUUUUUACAGUGGGUCUCGAGUUUUGUUGGGCCUGGUUUCAGUUUUUUGUAUGCCGUCUAUUUUUUUUGCUUGAACGUGUUGAUGAUAGUUGGCUAUAGCUCUAUAUAGAAUAUCCGACAUUAGGUAUGUCGUGGAUUUUUUUAUUUCAGUGAGAUGUUGCUGUGUUGACAGAUCAUCAGUUUAUCAAGGUCAUUUGAUUAGUUUGUUCAACGUUUGAUAUUACUAAGAUGUUAAAGUUUAGGCCUGACGAGCUUGAAUUGGUAUUGAUUUUUUUUUUACAUAGAUUUUUUUUUGUUGGCAAAUAUUUGAGCUUUAGCUGAGUUAUGGCGAUUAAUGUACACGCUAUCUAGGUAGUUCAGAAAAUUGACGUUUUAGGACAUUUGUAUCCAAGGUGGAACAUGAGUUGUUUGUUGAAGAGUCAAGUGAGUCCUUCUAAUGGAGGAGAGUGCAUAACAGACACUGAAGUAAAUGACAAAGCGUUGUUUUUUUUUUUAUACGACAUGUGUGAUGGACACUGGCAGUGAGUACAGCCAUUUUACAAUUUCUAUUCUAUUAUAGGGAUGCUAAUGAAUUUUGUAUUUUCAUUUUAUUAUCAUUAUGUUUUAGUUACUUAUAUAUUGAAUUAUACUGUUCUAUAUUUAGGUCGAAAAUAAGAUGCAAGUGGAGCUUGCAAUCCGAAAAACUUUGUCCAUGAUUAGAUGAUAUCAUUUUUCUUACUUUUAGUUUUAUAUUAAUUCGUGUUUUACUUGCACUCGAGAUUUGAUUGGCAGAAUUGCAUGUUCACUUUGAUGUAUAUUUUUUUUGUAAAUCUACUUGCAGAGAUUCAUGACUAUAUUAUUUGAUGUUUAAAGUUGAAGUUUGUGACAGUUGCAGUGCAGAUAUAUGAGAUGACGAUGUUCACAUGUUUGUUUUGAUUUUUUUUUCUUCUUAAUUACAACCACUUUGUUUAUGAUUUUAUAAUCUUAUUCCAGUGUGCUACAGUUGCCUAAAGACUUUGGUUAGCAAUGCUGCAUGUGUUCUAUAACAUUAUUUUUAUGUCUCAAUAUAGUUCCAGAAUUUGUUCUCAAAAUGUGAGGUAGUAGAGGCAGUUUAGACAGUCGCAUUAGUGUGACUUUGGUUGCAAAUAUUGCAACAAAAGUCAAAGGAGAAGGGGAAGAUGUCACAGUGUUGUGCAAGGGUUAUUAAUUAGUUUAAUAGAUGUUAUCAAAGCUCACCGAUAGACUUGACAGAGACCAGACAAAGGUUAGGACAAUGUCAGUUAGGUGUUUGUCUUGUAGAGAGACUGAUAUGUGGGUCGGGACAGACAUUAGCAAUGUUAGUUUAGGCGUAGGCUAGAUACUCAGCCUAUAUAGAGUAGAGUUUGGGGCAAUCGGGACACAACGCCAUGUAGUUUUAGCAGGGGCGUGUGUCGUAUGCUAGGCGUUUUCUGGUGAACGACACAUACAGACAUUGGGAGCAAGUCGCCGAGGUUGGCUCGCGAUCUUGGCUCCAAGAUGUGUGAGUUGUUUGCCAGAGACAACAUGUAGGAACUUUAAUUCUUAAGGACCAGGAGUGACAGUCUUGGCGACUGUCUGAGUCUUAGUGACAUUCUGACGGUCAGAGACGGUAGAUCUAUAUAUGGUGUAUCUUUGCCUGCUACUCAAGGGGAUAUCACUCUAGUAUUGAGCGGACUGUGACGUUGGGUUCCAGGAUCCGUGCAGAGACUAGAGAGAGAGAGAGAGAGAGAGACAAGAGAAAUGGAAAGUUCAUCGUGACCUACAGCCAAGCAUCAAUGUCUAUGUGAUUAUUAAAUUUUAAUUCUAGAAUCACAUGUUAUAUGUAACUAUAGUUGUUAAUUAAAUAUUUAUUUUUCAUAUGCAAA